CUUGCCAUCUCCCAGGUUCUAGGUGAGUUCAAAUGAAGAUUAUUAUUGGAUAUUUGUUUUUUCGUAAUUCUAGAGUCUCUGUAUAGUGGAAGUUGUGUUGUUAUGCAGAGAAGGAAUAAUAUUGCUUUAGAAUUGGUAGAAAAUCUUAUUGCCCAUUUUGGUGUAAAAUGGUUCAUCCCUUUGCUCGGUGGAAUAAUCUAUCUAGGUUUAAUUAUGUUGUAAGCUUUUCAACAGGAAAAAAG
rnacentral:misc_RNA from 1 species